rnacentral:rRNA from 1 species
GAUGAACGCUGGCGGCGUGCCUAAUACAUGCAAGUCGAGCGAACGGACGAGAAGCUUGCUUCCCUGAUGUUAGCGGCGGACGGGUGAGUAGCACGUGGAUAACGUAUCUAUAAGACUGGGAUAACUUAGGGAAACCGGAGCUAAUACCGGAUGAUAUUUUGAACCGCAUGGUUCAAAAGUGUAAGACGGUCUUGCUGUCACUUAUAGAUGGAUCCGCGCUGCCUUAGCUAGUUGGUAAGGUAACGGCUUACCAAGGCAACGAAGCAUAGCCGACCCGAGAGGGUGAUCCGCCACACUGGAACUGAGACACGGCCCAGACUCCUGCGGGAGGCAGCAGUAGGGAAUCUUCCGCAAUGGGCGAAAGCCUGACGGAGCAACGCCGCGUGAGUGAUGAAGGUCUUCGGAUCGUAAAACUCUGUUAUUAGGGAAGAACAUAUGUGUAAGUAACUGUGCACAUCUUGACGGUACCUAAUCAGAAAGCCCCGGCUAACUACGUG